CAUGCUCAUUCCCCUGCUCACUCAUGUGUGAUGGUGUGUCUGUCUCCUUCCCUCCCUGCAGCCUCCUGCUCACACAGAUCAUCUUGACCUUUCAUUAGGUCACUUCAUAAUUGAUGGAAAUGUCCCAGGCUUUUCCAGCAUUCUCGCCCUGACAGGGAGUUGGCAAAGGAGAGGCAAUUGUGUGGAAAGAGGAGGCGGAUAAAUCACUUCCCAGCCUCCCAGCUCAGGGGCCCCUGGCUCACCAGCAGGAGGGCAGCUUCAGCUCCUGGCUGCAGGCUCUCACUGUGUGACCGGGGAUGGAUGCAGACUGGUGAUCCGCCUGUCUCACCUUUUGGAGUGCCAGAACCACCUUGUAUACUCCAAAAGUGGGGAGAAGGACGGCAACCUGGUGAGACUGAGCGAGACAGAGAUCGGUGUGGAAAGUGAGUCACAGAACACCUUGUACGAAGGCACUCUGGAAUGUCUGUUUCCUGUGCUAGGACCUAAGGAUCCAGCAGCCCUCUGGAGGUGUCCACUGAGCCUGCGACAUCGGAUUGCUGUGAGAAUAUGAGGGAAGCCACAUUGCAGUCGCCAGCUCCUGACAGGCUCAGCUGACUGACUUUCACUUGUGGAAGGUUGUGGGUACAUUAUCAUUUCUGCGUAUUGAGUGCCUGGUGCAGAUAAGGUAUUUACUCAUUUGAAUAAAUGAAACUUUUAUGAAAAUGAAAUUUAUAUAUAGCCUUGAAAUUUUACUUCCUCUAGCUCUACCUGGGACUUGCGAGCUUGAAAAACUGCACAUUGUGACAUGGGACCCUUAUGCCUGGUCCAGGGCCAGGGCCAGUAAAGAACAACCCACAAGCCUAGCCUGCCUGCUUUGAUGAAUAAUGUUGUGGCCACGCCCAAACAUUUGCAUAUGCAUAUUGUCUGUAGCUGUUCCACCCCCUCCCUAUAUCUGGAGCCUCGCUGAGAGACUCCCGCAGAACAAGGCUGCAAAUCAUGACAUAUUUGUUACCUUAUGCCUUUACAGAAAAAAAGAUGGCUCAGUGGUUAACAGCACUCUCUACUCUUGCAGGGGACCCAGGUUUAGUUCCUAAUACUCCCAUCCAGUGACUCACAAAGGCUUGCAAUUCCAGCUCCAGGGAAUCUUACGCCCUCUUCUGGACUCUGCAGACACUUGCACUCCCUUUAGUGAAAAAAGAUGGCUGACUUCUGGCUUAGGCCAGUGGUGUUUAGACUUUUGCCUGAAUUACAAUUAUCUAAAGGAUGUUAAAUUCAGGUCGCUGAGCCCCAUAGUGGAAAAGCCUCAUUGAACCCAGGCUGUGCCAGGCCCCAGGGCUGGAUGUUUCUAGCAAGUUCCUGGGUGACAGGGAUGCUGCUGCUUUUUUGCUUUGUUUGUUUUUGGACAGGGUUUCAUGUAGCCGAGGCUGACCUUGAACUCCUGAUCCUAUCUUCAUUUUUUCCUCCAGUGCUGGGAUUGUUGGUGUGUGCCACCACAGCCAGCUGAGAGCUGUGGUUCUGUGAAGCCCACUUUGAGAUUCACUGGUUUGUGCUAUUUCGUAUGUCUACAGUGAUUUCUUCUUACCUGCUCUGGCCGAAGGGCGAAUUCCGCCCUUCUUGAAAGGUCAGUACAAAGGAGCCUCCAGGACACUAUAAGAACUGGGUGCCUAUGAACCAGACAACGGAACAUACUGGGGAUUCAACCCUGGUAAACAAAAUGGCUAGACUGGCCAUGUGUGACCCACUGUCUAGCUGGAGUAUGGACAAGAGUAGAACUGUGGGGAAAACAGAGUGAACAGCGAACACACAGACGUAAAUAAAUACCACGUAUUCCCAUCUUGGUGGAAAGGUGGCAAUGGACUCCGGCUGGAGGUUCUGAAAUGCCUCUCAAAGGAAGUGACAUUUAAGUUGAAAUCAGAGGGUGAGAGGAGGCUACCCUGAAGAGAACACGGGAGAUUCUUCUAGGCAGGUACCCU